rnacentral:rRNA from 1 species
AACGAACGCUGGCGGCGCGCCUAACACAUGCAAGUCGGACGAGAAAGAGGGGCAACCCUUGAGUAGAGUGGCGCACGGGUGAGUAAUGCUUAGGAAUCUGCCUAUUAGUGGGGGACAACAUCUCGAAAGGGAUGCCAAUACCGCAUACGUCCUACGGGAGAAAGCAGGGGAUCACUUGUGACCUUGCGCUAAUAGAUGAGCCUAAGUCGGAUUAGCUAGUUGGUGGGGUAAAGGCCUACCAAGGCGACGAUCUGUAGCGGGUCUGAGAGGAUGAUCCGCCACACUGGGACUGAGACACGGGCCAGACUCCUGCGGGAGGCAGCAGUGGGGAAUAUUGGACAAUGGGGGGAACCCUGAUCCAGCCAUGCCGCGUGUGUGAAGAAGGCCUUAUGGUUGUAAAGCACCUUAAGCGAGGAGGAGGCUCUUUUGGUUAAUACCCAAGAUGAGUGGACGUUACUCGCAGAAUAAGCACCGGCUAACUCUGUGCCAGCCGCCGCAGUAA